rnacentral:lncRNA from 1 species
AUUCGAUGUUAGGACAGGGGUUCACUUCCGAAAAACCACUGAUAACAUAUUUAUUUGGGCACAAGGAUGUCUGGAGGAAGUAAAAAGCACAGAGUACUUAGAGUACUUGUGUCUCCCUUUCCUUUAGAACCCUGUCAAGGGAAGGGGCUGAUUCUUGCCACCUAGCCCCCCAAAAAACAAUACCAGGCCACACUCGAUACAAAGUGCUUGAUUAACUUCGCUGUUACCAGCAACCCCAGAAAACCACUAGUAUCUUAUAAAAUGAUAAGAGCAAAGCUAAGCAGUUAAAAACUCAGGUUGACUAAUAUAUUUUGAAUGUUCAAAUGCAUGCACUCAUAGCCAGCAGCACAAGCUCCAGCUCCUGCUCCGGCUCAUUCUUCUCUCUGUCUCCUACUUAUGGUUCCAGAUGGGGCUUCAGCUACUUCUUCAGCAUCAUGCCUGCCUGCCUUCCUGCCAUCGUGUUCCCCACCAUGAUGAAAACAGAUUUGUCUUUGAAACUUGUCCCCAA